UUGACCUCGAAUCAGGUAGGACUACCCGCUGAACUUAAGCAUAUCAAUAAGCGGAGGAAAAGAAACCAACAGGGAUUGCCCC
rnacentral:rRNA from 2 species